CAAAGGGGAUUACCGGUGGCGGAUGGGCAUGCGGCGCAUUAGCUAGUCGGCGGGGUAACGGCCCACCGAGGCGACGAUGCGUAGGGGUUCUGAGAGGAAGGUCCCCCACACUGGUACUGAGACACGGACCAGACUCCUACGGGAGGCAGCAGUGAGGAAUAUUGGUCAAUGGGCGCGAGCCUGAACCAGCCAAGUCGCGUGAGGGAUGGCGGUCCUACGGAUUGUAAACCUCUUUUGCCGGGGAGCAAGCGUGCGUUCGUGAACGCGCGUCGAGAGUACCCGGAGAAAAAGCAUCGGCUAACUCCGUGCCAGCAGCCGCGGUAAUACGGAGGAUGCGAGCGUUAUCCGGAUUUAUUGGGUUUAAAGGGUGCGUAGGCGGGAUGCCAAGUCAGCGGUAAAAAUGCGGUGCUCAACGCCGUCGAGCCGUUGAAACUGGCGUUCUUGAGUGGGCGAGAAGUAUGCGGAAUGCGUGGUGUAGCGGUGAAAUGCAUAGAUAUCACGCAGAACUCCGAUUGCGAAGGCAGCAUACCGGCGCCCUACUGACGCUGAGGCACGAAAGCGUGGGUAUCGAACAGGAUUAGAUACCCUGGUAGUCCACGCAGUAAACGAUGAAUGCUAACUGUCCGG
rnacentral:rRNA from 1 species